rnacentral:rRNA from 1 species
GACGAACGCUGGCGGCGUGCCUAAUACAUGCCAGUAGAACGCACAGUUUAUACCGUAGCUUGCUACACCAUAGACUGUGAGUUGCGAACGGGUGAGUAACGCGUAGGUAACCUGCCUGGUAGCGGUGGAUAACUAUUGGAAACGAUAGCUAAUACCGCAUAAUAUUAAUUAUUGCAUGAUAAUUAAUUGAAAGGUGCAAUUGCACCACUACCAGAUGGACCUGCGUUGUAUUAGCUAGUAGGUGAGGUAACGGCUCACCUAGGCGAGGAUACAUAGCCGACCUGAGAGGGUGAUCGGCCCCACUGGGAGUGAGACAGGGCCCAGACGCCUACGGGAGGCAGCAGGAGGGAAUCUUCGGCAAGGGACGAAAGUCUGACCGAGCAACGCCGGGUGAGUGAAGAAGGGUGUCGGAUCGGAAAGAUCUGUUGUAAGAGAAGAACGGGUGUGAGAGUGGAAAGUUCACCCUGUGACGGUAUCUUAACAGAAAGGGACGGCUAACUACGUG